AGGAGCCACACACUAAUUCUUUCUUUCUAGACAGAAAUAUGAAGUCAUCCAUGUCUGUAAUACUUGUGGUUGAUGCAAAGGCUUGGGUAGCAAACCUGAAUUAGAAGGCUCAAGUAAAUAGUGACCUCUUUGUUUCAUCAAAGCUUGUCUCCAACACCAAUGCAGAAGAAUGAUAAAAACACCAUGAUCUCCAGAUGGGCAAGUACCAGCUUCCAUGAGGAGGAAGUCUUUGGUUGGUUGGAGUCUCGCCAAAAUUCC
rnacentral:lncRNA from 1 species